rnacentral:lncRNA from 1 species
AGAAACGUUCCUUUCGGAAUUCCAACUGUACGUCUAACCAUACUAAAUCAAACGACGUUUUUUUUGACUUAGUGUUGAUCUGACUCUGUGAGCUGACAAAAUCAUACUCUUAAUCCGGAGAAGUAAUAAGUAUUGGAAUUUUAGGAGUUGAAUUGCUCGGAUUCGUAACUCACGGGUUUUGACGAAGCUAAUUCCGGCCUAAAGCUAAAAAUGGGCUUAGUUGGCUAAGGUUUAGGACAUGUUGGUAUUUGAUAAAUUAAAUAAGGUAGAAAGGGUGAAAAGAUGGGUGAUGUGAUUGAGUAUGGGGGUGGAAAUAUAUAUAUAUAUAUAUUAAAGUGGGGUGGUUGAAAAAGGGAAUUUGAAAAAAGAAAUUUGAAAAAGGAAUUGUAAAUGGUAAGUAGUAACAAGCUGAAAGUUUUAGGAGUUGAAAGUUAAAGAAACUAAAGACAAUAAAUAAAUUUGUGAAAAGUUGAAAAUAAAGGUGAAAUGGAUGGUUGGCUACUGGAACUAAUAAAUUGAAGGAAGACAAACUAAGAAAUAACAAAGGCUACGUGAGAAAGGAGAGAAUUUGAAAGAUAAAAGCUAAAUGUUUUUUGAUUGAUGAAUUGAUGA